UACGUAGGGCGCAAGCGUUGUCCGGAAUUAUUGGGCGUAAAGAGCUCGUAGGCGGUUUGUCGCGUCUGCCGUGAAAGCCCGGGGCUUAACUCCGGGUCUGCGGUGGAUACGGGCAGACUAGAGGCAGGUAGGGGAGAACGGAAUUCCUGGUGUAGCGGUGGAAUGCGCAGAUAUCAGGAGGAACACCGGUGGCGAAGGCGGGUCUCUGGGCCGAUACUGACGCUGAGGAGCGAAAGCGUGGGGAGCGAACAGG
rnacentral:rRNA from 1 species